UCUAGACUGCAAAUCCCUCCCCCUCGGCUCUCUCAAAGCUUCCCCAAUCCGCGUCUCAGACCCCCCUCUCCCCCUGGAUCCCUCACGUGUCUUCGUCCUUUGUGUCGCUGCUGUCUUCUCCUCUCCCUUUGUUGCUGUCAAUCUUGUCUCGCUCCAUGGGUGUUUCGCAUCUUUUUCCUCGGUCCUUCAGCGUCUUCCUCUUAGGCAGAUCCAGUGGGCAAAGAGUCCUUGAUAUUAUGAAUGGCUAUUUACAUUUGCGACAAACCCUACAAGACAAUUUUUUUUUGGUGGAAAUGUAGCAUCAAGUGAUGAUGAUGGGAAUGAGAUUUAUGAUUUAAGAAAGAGAUGUUGUGAAGGGGGUGCCACUUGUCCAACAAAGGGAUGAUCGCUUCUGGUUUGAGUGAUCUUGCCUUCUUUACCUCAUCCAUUUUGUGGUCCUUCAGGGAACUUUUCAACCUUCACUUCUCUGGACACACAUGCAAGGCAUCUCCGCCUCACAUUUUUGUUCAGAAUUUGGUCAUAUUAUCAGGUAAUAUAUUAUAAUAUGAGAUUUUUAUUUUGCAACAAAUAAAAAUAUGAACUGUAUGAAGAUCAAUGCUCCUCUUGUUUUUAUUUGGCAAAUGGGACUUCUAGUUUUGUUAAUACUAUGACAAAUGAAAGAGCUAGCCCUCAGUAGGGUAUGACUAGUAUUCAAAGUUCAAGUUGGAAUGAGCUAUUUUGAUUUGCUAAAUAUAUAUGGUAGACUCACAAGACAAAUGCUUGAUUUCUAGAAAUCGGUAAAACCCCACGAAGCAUUUCAAACAUAUGAAACAAAGGUAUGCACUUAUAAGUCUUGAGCCAUGCUUAUGUACGCACUACUUUUUGGCAUUGUGGCACACAAAUUGAUACAAUAAGACAUAUUACAUUUAUUUAUCUAAAUUUAUUAUGUGCGUGAAUUAUUGUUUAGUUUGUUCAGCAAGAGGGCGAAACAUAUUAAGAUACUAAUUUGAUAUCUAAUUGUGUAUUGGCCAUAUAUUACUUCAAUGGGAAAAUUAAAAAUGCAGGUGUAGUGGGGUGCACAUUUUCUUGACAAACAAGUGGUUCUUGUGUUUCAUUUUCUUCAAAAAGGGCAUGGAAUCUGUGGUACAAGAAAGCUAAGGUUGCUGGAUUUUGUGAAGAAGAGUAUCAACAACUGGUGUGUGUUCAUCCUGCUCAUAUAGGAAAAGGAGGAGUUGCUAUAAAGAACUUGAUCCCCUUACUUUUGUCUUCUUUUCUGCAUUUCUGUUCUCCUUAAGAAUUUUAUCUUUUUUUAUGCAAACAAAGGCUCUGUUUAUAUUGUUUAAUUGACAUUCCUAUUCCUUUGUAAUGCUUUCAAUAAAUGAAAGUCGGGUAUUACUUUUGUACUUA